ensembl:lncRNA
CUAUUGUUCCUGCGGCCGGGCGGGAGCGCUCCGGGGGUCGCCCCUCUCCUCCGGCCGACGCCAAGCGCUCCCCACCCGCCCCGCCGCCCGUAAUCAGCGUAUUUGCCGCCCUUUGUGAACGUUUUCGAAGCGUCUCCUUCGAACGUUUUGGAACGCCGCCGUGGAAGAAGGGCAGGUGGUCUGUGGCAGGUGGUCUGUCAUGUAUCUGUUUUCCAAGAGAAGAAACUGAGCCGCGGAGAGUAAAGGUGACUUGUCCAAGGUCACAUACCAAGAAAGGGGCAUGAGCAGGAUUGGAACCCAAGUUCUGACUCCAGAACUUGGAGAACACAGAGAUGUUGGGUGAAUCGCUGAAUCUCUAGGACUUCCUCCCCACCCGCGAUCCCAGAUGAGAAAGUUGGGACCCGGAAAAAAGUGAUCUGACUCCCAAUCUAGUGCUCUCCACACCACAUCUUGUGAGGUGAUCUCUACCCAGACAUAGCUACAGACCCAAAGAAUCCAGUGAAGGCCCUGGAUCCCUCAGCAUUGUCCCACACGAAUCCAGCCAAAGGCCUAGAGCCCACAGCAAUGUCUCCUGCAAGUCCAUACCACCAGAAAGGACCAAUGGAAGUGGACGCUAGAAAGUCUGCGACAACUUGGUGAAGGAUCUGUGCCAGAAGGCUGAAAGAUCUGCACUGGAGCCAGGAAACAACGCUCAAGACAAAGGGGAAGACCAGAGCUCCCCAGAAGAGAGCAGCAGCCAUUCCCAGCCGACAGAACAGCCAAGUUCAUAUCAGGAAAAUAAGCCACAACAAAGUUCCUCCUCGGAAAUCAGCAGCAUGCAGGCUUUCCCUCAAGUUCUCCUUUUAUGUCGUUCAGACAACAAUCCUCAGUAAAGCUUCACUCAUGGAAAACAGUGCAUUCAAGGAAUCUUUAUGAACAUUUGUCAAACACUACGCACUAAAGCAGCCUCUGAGGACAAGAGAGAAUCCUAUCUUCACUGUGUGUGGGGGAGACAUCUGAAAAUUAACAGUUACACCACAGUGUGAUAAAUACCAAAUAUAAACGGAGUGAGAGUGGGGUCGGAGUAAGUG